AUUGAACGCUGGCGGCAGGCCUAACACAUGCAAGUCGAGCGGAUGAAGAGAGCUUGCUCUCUGAUUCAGCGGCGGACGGGUGAGUAAUGCCUAGGAAUCUGCCUGGUAGUGGGGGACAACGUUUCGAAAGGGAUGCUAAUACCGCAUACGUCCUACGGGAGAAAGCAGGGGACCUUCGGGCCUUGCGCUAUCAGAUGAGCCUAGGUCGGAUUAGCUAGUUGGUGAGGUAAUGGCUCACCA
rnacentral:rRNA from 1 species